rnacentral:rRNA from 1 species
UUUUCCUACGGGGGGCAGCAGUGAGGAAUAUUGGUCAAUGGGCGAGAGCCUGAACCAGCCAAGUCGCGUGAGUGAAGACGGUCCUAUGGAUUGUAAACCUCUUUUGCCGGGGAGCAAAAAGCGGUACGUGUACCGCAUCGAGAGUACCCGAAGAAAGAGCAUCGGCUAACUCCGUGCCAGCAGCCGCGGUAAUACGGAGGAUGCGCUCGUUAUCCGGAUUUAUUGGGUUUAAAGGGUGCGCAGGCGGCGAGUUAAGUCACCGGUAAAAUUUCG